AACUCGACUGCAUGAAGCUGGAAUCGCUAGUAAUCGCGGAUCAGAAUGCUGCGGUGAAUACGUUCCCGGGUCUUGUACACACCGCCCGUCACACCAUGGGAGUCGGAAAUGCCCGAAGCCGGUGACCCAACCAAAAGGAGGGAGUCGUCGAAGGCAGGUCUGAUAACUGGGGUGAAGUCGUAACAAGGUACC
rnacentral:rRNA from 1 species